AUUUUGCGUGAGGGAUAGUAGCGACAUCCUUUUUUGCAUAUGAAUGAUUUGUUAGUUGAAAUCGGAGUGACAAGCAAAAAAGAUAUAGCGAAUAGCCCGACCCGUG
rnacentral:sRNA from 1 species